AAUUGAUGGUGAGGGCAUCUUGCCACCAAUCUCUUGUAUCGUUCCCAACAUUCAUAUAAAGAUUCUCCCACAUUUUGCUUCAACCCGCAAAUCUCCUUGCAAAUU